UGCUCGCCACAGUGGUGCUGAUGUUUGCUGCCUGCUGGCUGCCCAUUCAUUUACUCAACCUCAUCCUCUACUUCGACCGCGACGCCAUCUUCCCUAGCUCAGACACUGGAGAGUACAUCUACAUCGCUGGCUUCUUCGGCUGCCACUGGCUCUCCAUGGCGAACAGCUUCGUCAACCCCAUUAUCUACUGCUUCAUGAGCGACAAUUUCAGGGCGGACGUGAUGCAUUUGGUACUGAAACGCAGCGUAACAAGAUCGGAUUGGGUCAGGUCCACACAAAGAAAGUCCCAUCACGGAGAACUCCGGUGUUCACUCAACGGAUCAGCAAAGAUCCAACGCUGAGGCAGACGUUGGUCAACUUCUCUCAUUUCAACGUGGCAAGAAGUCGCUGUAUAGUUCCUACGGUGGUUCCACCCGCAACACGGCUACCUUGCACCUGUCCAUCGGUUCAGUGCGUCGCAACGACUGCUCCGCAGCACAAAAUCCGCAAGUGACGCUGCAAGCGUUAAAUCAUCUCCGUGUGACUGGAAGGACCAAAUGACCUCGAAAAUGGACAACAAGAGAGCACCCUAAGCACAAAACUCGGUAUUAACUAUGUGUUGCCGCUGUAUUUUUCUCACCUGGCAUCCAGGUUAUUCAUCAAGAUCUUAAAGGGGCACUAAAGUGCAAAGAUUUCUCCACCUAGAAUACGAAAAAAAAAAGAAAGAACUCUGAACAAGCUGACAUGGGACGGCCUCCUAUUGGUCUCCGCAAGCGAUUUGCCCAGUGAAAGCGGGAAAUGUCGGCACGGUUCCCUUAGAAGCUGGCCUAGGACGCACAUUCCCCCACGGCGUUAGUCGUGACGCUGCCUACCUCUGUGAGGUCGACAACGGCGAGCCCUUUCAUCACCACCACCACCAUCACCACCACCACCAAGGCGGG